rnacentral:rRNA from 1 species
UGGCGGACGGGUGAGUAAUGUCUGGGAAACUGCCUGAUGGAGGGGGGAUAACUACUGGAAACGGUAGCUAAUACCGCAUAACGUCGCAAGACCAAAGAGGGGGACCUUCGGGCCUCUUGCCAUCGGAUGUGCCCAGAUGGGAUUAGCUAGUAGGUGGGGGUAACGGCUCACCUAGGCGACGAUCCCUAGCUGGUCUGAGAGGAUGACCAGCCACACUGGAACUGAGACACGGUCCAGACUCCUACGGGAGGCAGCAUG